rnacentral:rRNA from 1 species
UGGGGAAUAUUGGACAAUGGGCGAAAGCCUGAUCCAGCCAUGCCGCGUGUGUGAAGAAGGUCUUCGGAUUGUAAAGCACUUUAAGUUGGGAGGAAGGGCAGUAAAUUAAUACUUUGCUGUUUUGACGUUACCGACAGAAUAAGUACCGGCUAACUCUGUGCCAGCAGCCGCGGUAAUACAGAGGGUGCAAGCGUUAAUCGGAAUUACUGGGCGUAAAGCGCGCGUAGGUGGUUUGUUAAGUUGGAUAUGAAAUCCCCGGGCUCAACCUGGGAACUGCAUUCAAAACUGACAAGCUAGAGUAUGGUAGAGGGUGGUGGAAUUUCCUGUGUAGCGGUGAAAUGCGUAGAUAUAGGAAGGAACACCAGUGGCGAAGGCGACCACCUGGACUGAUACUGACGCUGAGGUGCGAAAGCGUGGGGGGCAAACAG